ensembl:piRNA 21ur-5874 ncRNA
UUCGGAAAAAGUUGGGUAGUG